GACGAACGCUGGCGGCGUGCCUAAUACAUGCAAGUUGAGCGAUGAAGAUUGGUGCUUGCACCAAUUUGCAGAGCAGCGAACGGGUGAGUAACGCGUGGGGAAUCUGCCUUUGAGCGGGGGACAACAUUUGGAAACGAAUGCUAAUACCGCAUAACAACUUUAAACAUAAGUUUUAAGUUUGAAAGAUGCAAUUGCAUCACUCAAAGAUGAUCCCGCGUUGUAUUAGCUAGUUGGUGAGGUAAAGGCUCACCAAGGCGAUGAUACAUAGCCGACCUGAGAGGGUGAUCGGCCACAUUGGGACUGAGACACGGCCCAAACUCCUACGGGAGGCAGCAGUAGGGAAUCUUCGGCAAUGGACGAAAGUCUGACCGAGCAACGCCGCGUGAGUGAAGAAGGUUUUCGGAUCGUAAAAAUCUGUUGGUAGAGAAGAACGUUGGUGAGAGUGGAAAGCUCAUCAAGUGACGGUAACUACACAGAAAGGGACGGCUAACUACGUG
rnacentral:rRNA from 1 species